rnacentral:rRNA from 1 species
AUUGAACGCUGGCGGCAUGCCUUACACAUGCAAGUCGAACGGCAGCAUGGGUGCUUGCACCUGAUGGCGAGUGGCGAACGGGUGAGUAAUGCAUCGGAACGUACCUUUCCGUGGGGGAUAACGUAGCGAAAGUUACGCUAAUACCGCAUCUUCUGUGAGCAGGAAAGCAGGGGUGCGCAAGACCUUGCGCUGAUUGCGCGGCCGAUGUCAGAUUAGCUAGUUGGCGAGGUAAAGGCUCACCAAGGCGACGAUCUGUAGCGGGUCUGAGAGGAUGAUCCGCCACACUGGAACUGAGACACGGUCCAGACUCCUACGGGAGGCAGCAGUGGGGAAUUUUGGACAAUGGGGGCAACCCUGAUCCAGCCAUGCCGCGUGAGUGAAGAAGGCCUUCGGGUUGUAAAGCUCUUUCGGCCGGGAAGAAAUCGCACGGGCUAAUACCCUGUGUGGAUGACGGUACCGGAAUAAGAAGCACCGGCUAACUACGUGCCAGCCGCCGCAGUAA